rnacentral:tRNA from 1 species
UGGGGUAUUGCUCAGUGCUAGAGCACGUGCCUAGCAUGCACAAAGUCCUGGGUUUAAUCCCCAGUACCUCCG